rnacentral:rRNA from 1 species
ACCUGACGCAGCAACGCCGCGUGGAGGAUGAAGGCCCUUGGGUUGUAAACUCCUGUCGGCUGGGAAGAAAUCAUACGGUGCUCAUACCACCGUAUGUUGACUGUACCAGCAAAGGAAGCCCCGGCUAACUCUGUGCCAGCAGCCGCGGUAAUACAGAGGGGGCCAGCGUUAUUCGGAAUUAUUGGGCGUAAAGGGCGCGUAGGCGGCCAUGCGUGUCUUCCGUGAAAUCCCUCGGCUUAACUGAGGACGUGCGGAAGAAACUGCAAGGCUCGAGUCCGGGAGAGGGGGGUGGAAUUCCCAGUGUAGCGGUGAAAUGCGUAGAUAUUGGGAGGAACACCGGUGGCGAAGGCGGCCCCCUGGACCGGUACUGACGCUGAGGCGCGAAAGCGUGGGUAGCAAACGGGAUUAGAUACCCCGGUAGUCCACGCCGUAAACGAUGGGCACUUGGUGUCGCGGGUAUCGACCCCUGCGGUGCCGAAGCUAACGCAUUAAGUGCCCCGCCUGGGGAGUACGGUCGCAAGGCUG